AAAGAUGAAAAAGAGAGAGGCGUCUGAUCAGCUGUUUUAGUUUAUUUUAAAAGUAGACCCAUAGGUAGCGCUGUUUUUUGAGCUGAUUUGGAAUCUCUAACAGCUGCGUUCAAUGUCUUGCUUUGGAUAAUCAUGAGGUUUUCAAGGUACCGACCAGAUCGAGAUUACUACGCCAAUGCUUGUGUUUCUAGUUAAUCAGUCAGUAUUUAAACAGGGUUAAAAAUUGAAUUAAGAUAAUAUGUAUUGGAGAAGAAUUACCUUGAUUUAUAAGUUACCACCUAACAUGGAGACACCCUCUGAAGAUUGUGGCUGGAAGGAGAAUAGUGUCCAAAUUGUUGACCCAUCAUAUAACCUAUAUGCUAAUAUUUUGUUUAUUAAUUUUAAUGUUGGUAUGUCUUUUUCACAUUAAUAAAGCACAUAUCCAUCUUGA